rnacentral:ncRNA from 1 species
AGUUUUUGCUGUUGACUACUUUUUGUUGUUUGACUUCGAAAUUAAUAUUUGUUCGGUGUGUUAUUUUACCUUAAUUAGAUCUUUUUUGAUUAUCUUGAGUAACCGCCAAGUUUACUUUGAAAAACCAGAGUAUUCAAAGCAGUCGCGAUGCCUGAAUAUCGGGGCAUGGAAUAAUCAAAAGUGCAUCUCAGUUCCAUUUUGUUGGUUUCCGGAAUACAAGGUAAUGAUUAAGAAGAAUAGAGGUGGGCAUUCUUAUGGCAACCCUAGAGGUGUAAUUCUCGAAUCGUCGCAAGAUGAACUCUGCAAAAGCAUUUGCCAGGAAUGCUUUCUAUUCAGCAAGAACGAAAGUCAGAGGUUCGAAGGCGACCGGUUUUUACGAGUGUGC